rnacentral:rRNA from 1 species
AGAGUGAACGCUGGCGGCAGGCCUAACACAUGCAAGUCGAACGGCAGCACAGAGGAGCUUGCUCCUUGGGUGGCGAGUGGCGGACGGGUGAGGAAUACAUCGGAAUCUGCCUUAUCGUGGGGGAUAACGUAGGGAAACUUACGCUAAUACCGCAUACGACCUACGGGUGAAAGCGGAGACCUUCGGGCUUCGCGCGAUAAGAUGAGCCGAUGUCGGAUUAGCUAGUUGGCGGGGUAAAGCCCACCAAGGCGACGAUCCGUAGCUGGUCUGAGAGGAUGAUCAGCCACACUGGAACUGAGACACGGUCCAGACUCUACGGGAGCAGCAGUGGGAAUAUUGGACAAUGGGCGCAAGCCUGGAUCCAGCCAGUGCCGCGUGGGUCGAAGAAGGCCUUACGGGUUAGUAAACGUCCCUUUUAGGUACCGGUAAAAGAAAACG